GGUCAAGAGAUUCAAAGACCAAAAAAUCAAAACUAAAUUUGCACGCUUCAACAAUUAAUCACAUUAAUUGUAUGUCCAGAUGGUUAGAAUAUAAAAAUUCUUUAAAACAAGGUAGUAUCAUCUCCAAAUUAUCAACAGCCAACAAGGAGCACAUUGACAAAAAUCGGCAGUAUAUUAAAUGUUUAAUUGAUAUUGUUAUAUUUCUUGGACGACAGGGACUUCCAUUUAGGGGACAUCGUGAAAAUGAUGAUGCUUUAAAUAAAGGUAAUUUUAAAGAGCUGUGCAUGUUGUUUUCAAAACAUCAUAUUGAGUUUGAAAAAAAAUAUAUUUCAACUCAACUAAUCAUACUAGUUGGGCCAUUCAAAAUGAUUUGAUAAAUAUUUGUGCUUCAUAUGUGAGAGAUAAUAUUGUUUCUGAAGUUAAAAAGUGUGGCAUGUUUUCCAUUUCAUGUGAUGAAGCCAGAUCUCAUAAGGAAGAGAAAAUGUCCAACUGUAUCCGUUAUACAAACAAUUUGGAGGUGAAAGAACGUUUUUUAGGAUUUGUUGAUGUAUCAUAUAGUCAAAAUGCUGAUGCAUUAUAUUCAUCCAUUA